GACGAACGCUGUCGGCGUGCUUAACACAUGCAAGUCGAACGGAAAGGCCCUGCUUUUGUGGGGUGCUCGAGUGGCGAACGGGUGAGUAACACGUGAGUAACCUGCCCUUGACUUUGGGAUAACUUCAGGAAACUGGGGCUAAUACCGGAUAGGAGCUCCUGCUGCAUGGUGGGGGUUGGAAAGUUUCGGCGGUUGGGGAUGGACUCGCGGCUUAUCAGCUUGUUGGUGGGGUAGUGGCUUACCAAGGCUUUGACGGGUAGCCGGCCUGAGAGGGUGACCGGCCACAUUGGGACUGAGAUACGGCCCAGACUCCUACGGGAGGCAGCAGUGGGGAAUAUUGCACAAUGGGCGGAAGCCUGAUGCAGCAACGCCGCGUGCGGGAUGACGGCCUUCGGGUUGUAAACCGCUUUCGCCUGUGACGAAGCGUGAGUGACGGUAAUGGGUAAAGAAGCACCGGCUAACUACGUGCCAGCAGCCGCGGUGAUACGUAGGGUGCGAGCGUUGUCCGGAUUUAUUGGGCGUAAAGGGCUCGUAGGUGGUUGAUCGCGUCGGAAGUGUAAUCUUGGGGCUUAACCCUGAGCGUGCUUUCGAUACGGGUUGACUUGAGGAAGGUAGGGGAGAAUGGAAUUCCGGGUGGAGCGGUGGAAUGCGCAGAUAUCAGGAGGAACACCAGUGGCGAAGGCGGUUCUCUGGGCCUUUCCUGACGCUGAGGAGCGAAAGCGUGGGGAGCGAACAGGCUUAGAUACCCUGGUAGUCCACGCUGUAAACGGUGGGUACUAGGUGUGGGGUCCAUUCCACGGGUUCCGUGCCGUAGCUAACGCUUUAAGUACCCCGCCUGGGGAGUACGGCCGCAAGGCUAAAACUCAAAGGAAUUGACGGGGCCCCGCACAAGCGGCGGAGCAUGCGGAUUAAUUCGAUGCAACGCGUAGAACCUUACCUGGGUUUGACAUGGAUCGGGAGUGCUCAGAGAUGGGUGUGCCUCUUUUGGGGUCGGUUCACAGGUGGUGCAUGCCUGUCGUCAGCUCGUGUCGUGAGAUGUUGGGUUAAGUCCCGCAACGAGCGCAACCCUUGUUCACUGUUGCCAGCACGUUAUGGUGGGGACUCAGUGGAGACCGCCGGGGUCAACUCGGAGGAAGGUGGGGAUGACGUCAAGUCAUCAUGCCCCUUAUGUCCAGGGCUUCACGCAUGCUACAAUGGCUGGUACAGAGAGUGGCGAGCCUGUGAGGGUGAGCGAAUCUCGGAAAGCCGGUCUCAGUUCGGAUUGGGGUCUGCAACUCGACCUCAUGAAGUCGGAGUCGCUAGUAAUCGCAGAUCAGCAACGCUGCGGUGAAUACGUUCCCGGG
rnacentral:rRNA from 1 species